UUUGUGUUCCAUUGGAGAUGCUCUAAUCACUUCACCUUUUACUUUAGUUCUCUGGUGUAUCAGAACAAACUCAGUUUUCUCCUUUAAAGGUAACUAGUUUUAAGUUGUUUCAACUUUCAAGGGUUUGGUUCGAACUUAAUAGUUUGCCUUAUAUCGCUUCAUUGUUUGUGUAACUAAUUUAAGUUGUUUCAAGUGUUUGGUUCGAAGUUGUUUCAUGUUUUGGCCAGUGUGAUUGAGACUCUGAAGCUGUUUGCAGUGGUGAGUGAAGCUGAUAACAAGUUCACUUGGGUGAUUAAGGAUUUCUCCUCUCUGCAAUCUGGGGACAUCUACUCUGAUAAAUUUUGAUUGGUGGCUGCAAAUGGUGUCUUAUUGCUUUUCCAGAGGCAAUUAAAUCUGGUUGCGUGUCUCUGUUUCUGGAAGUAGCCGAUCAUGAAUCAUUGCCUCUUGGAUGGAGAAGGCACGCAAAAUUUUCACUUCAAGUAGCAAAUAAAAAUUCAGAAAAUCCUCUAUAUGGAAGCAUAUCAGUGGUGGUUUGAUCAAAAGAAACCCUUAUGUUUUCUAAAAAAUCUUCGACUUUCCAAACUUCAUUCCAAAGAUGGUGGAUUCCUUGUAAAUGAUGAGCUCAAGAUUGUUGCUGAGGUAAAUGUUCUUGAAGUUAACGGAAAAGCUGAUGAUGCAUCAGAGGGAUCUCAAGAUGCAGUCCAACCUAUGAAAAAAACAAAGAGGAAUGAUUAUGGCACCCCAUCUAGUGAUUUGUACAAGGAAACUCGAGUGGGAAACGAAACCGUUGAUGUCAAUGUUCAUCACAAGUAAGCUAUAAGACUAGUGCUCAACUCUUUUCUUGCAGGACAAAACCAAGAUUCAUGUCUCCAAAACUUAUAUGAUGUGGUUUUUUGAUGCAGAGAGAUAUUUGGAUAUAUUCCAAAUAUCAUUAUUAUCUAGUUUAUUAUUUAUUCAAGUAUU